CGCAGCCCUGGGGCAGGGGAAGGGUUUGUGCUGGGGGUGACGCUGCCAAUGGCUUCUCUGCAGGGAUUUCACUGGGAACGCGCUCGCCCUCAUCCCCCCGCAGGCCUGGCAGGGAUACCCGUGGGCUGAGAAGCUAGUCCUCCAGCACAACAACCUGCGGGCAGUGAAGAGGCGCUCGCUGGAGGGGCUGCUCCUGCUGAGGCACCUGGAUUUAUCUUACAACAAAAUCCAGCUGAUCGAGGCGUGUGCUUUUGAGAACCUUCCUUUCCUGGAGACCAUGUGAGUUAUGGGAGUUCCUUCCUGGUGUGGUUGGUGAAGCCUGUUUGCAUUUAGAACCUUCUGGUGAUGGAAAAAACUCCUGUUAUUCUUAGAACAAGGCCUCCAGUUUCUCCUGCUGAAGGAGCAGCCCAGCUCCGGAGCUCAGGGCAUGGCUGGUGGCCACACCAGG